GAGACGGAGAACUACUUCUUUCACUUCACCUUUAUGUUGAGGGGAGGAAAGAGAGAGAGAAGUUUAACCAAACAAUUCUUGUUUUUAAACAUAGCACUACUAAUCAGCUUCACUCAGGAGACGUCGCUGACUCAGCGGAGCCCGGUAGAGGGGAGGAGAGACUGAGGGAGUUGGAGAGAAGCCAGUAUGAUUGGUGCAGAACAACAGACUGACAGCAUGCGUGAACACACCCCCAUCAUGACAGACAGAACCGAAAUAAUUCACAUUUCUACAUCGCCCUCACAAUCAUAAACACCCUGAGGACGGAGUAGCAACGGAGCGUGUGGUCUGGGGGCCCGAGACACGGCUAUAUAAUAUCACUAAUCUAUAGUCCCUAGAAAUCAAACGAAACGCGGCGGGACCUACCUGAAUUUGUCCAAUAGAAAGUUUAGCUUUCGUUGGAAACUGUUACAGUAAUGAAUGCACCCUAGGCCUCAUGGGGCCAUAAGAACUGAGCAGAAGCUGUGACUUUCCAACAUGACUGUUAAAAAAAAAAAAAAGAAGGUUAUUCUGUCUGCACAUGACAUAGGCCACACCCACCUCUGUAAAUAAAUUAGCAAAACAUUCUAAACCUGUUUUUGCUGUGUCCUUUGUCCUUCAUUUUUAGAAUAAGACUGUAUAACGUAACCAAGUUGAAGAAGUCAAAUGGUCUGUGUACUUUCUGAAUGCACUGUAUAUCAGGAAGAAAACACCCGUAACAGCAGAAUCUUAGAAACGGCGCCCUCUUGUGGGGGCCUUUAUAGGUGAUCAUUUCAAAAGCAGUCGCCUUUUUGGUACGACUUCUCAACACACACUUCUUCUGUCUAGAAAAAGUGAAAUAGAUUGGGUGGCCUGCAGAUUUGAAUCCUUCUCUAUAGAGCUGUUUUCAUAUGAAGACAUGACCAAUCUACCACCUGUCUCCUCAGAGGACUACUCCUAGUAGGAAUGUAUUGAUGAUUUGAGUUAUGGAGUCACUGUGUGGUCCAUUUACAGUUGACCUCCCAGCAUAUCCCAACUCCACCUAAAGUCCCGUGGUCUUGACUCUGCUGUAGUUGCGUAACUGUGCGGGAGUUUUGUAAACGAGAACCCUCCUCCACCUGCUAGACACAAGAGACAAUGAUAAUACCAUAUCAGCCUGGCAACUGUCAACAGCUACACACACAUUCCAUGGAUGGAUGGAUGGAUGGAUGGAUGGAUGGAUGGAUGGAUGGAUGGAUGGAUGGAUGGCCGACCUCCUUUCCUAAAAUAGAACUGUGGAGACACCGGAUACAGGAGGCUAUGUGGAGCUCACCGUCUGACUGCUUUGGAUGGGCUGAGGGAGGACGAGAGAGGCACACACACACACACACACACACACACA